UGGAGCGACGAAAAUGCGGAACAAAAAAGCGUAAAAAGCCGCGUCGCCCGUAACCCGCGCCCCCUCCUCCGCGCUCCUCCACCGCUGUCCCGCACUCUCGCCUCGCCUCUCCUCCGCGCCGCGACGCCCCGCAACCCGCGCCCCCUCCUCCGCGCGCCUCCAUCGCCGCCCCGCACCCUCCCCUCGCCUCUCCUCCGCGCCGCCCCUCCACCAGCAGCCGGCGCGGUCCGGCGCCCCUCUCCUCUCCACCCGCGUCGCCGCCGUCCCCACUGCGCGCCACCGCCCAUCGCCGCCCCACCGCGCCUCCACCCCUAGCCGGAGAGGCGCCGGCCGCACUGCCCCUCCACCUCCACCCGGCGCCCCUCUCCUCUCCACCCGCGUCGCCGCCGUCCCCACUGCGCGCCGCCGCCCAUCGCCUCCCCACCGCGCCUCCACCCCUAGCCGGAGAGGCGCCGGCCGUGCCGCCCCUCCACCUCCACCAGAAGCCAUCCCCACACCGCACCGCCGCCCCUCGCCUCCCCACCGCCCUCGACCUGCGUCGCCUCCUCGCCCCUCGACGCCCUCGACCACUCAAGGUGGUCACAGACGCCGUCAUCUGAAGGUAUGUAUCCCCUCCUGCCCCACCAUGACGCCCGACGAUAUGGCCGCCGCAUGUUUGAUGAAAUGUCCAGUAAGAAGCUCCAUCCGUGGACUCAAUCUGCAAUGGGGAAAUGAGCACCAAAUGAACAUGCACUUGAAUAUUGUACAGAUCGAUUGCUACAUGUAUGAUUUCUUUUAUAAUUCUUCAUGUACAUAGGUUGAAUAUGAAAUAAUACCUCGGUUACCAUGUGCCUGCCUCACUUCCAAACCUUUCAAUCAGCUGACACAUGAGCUAUAGAACAAACAACGAUUCAUGCUUUUUACGUGGGUUGUUCUAUAUAAUAUUACUACCCCUCAAUGCUUGUAAUGUUAUUUUUAUCAUGAUGACUCUCAGUUCAGCUUAAUUAUAUUGAAAAACUAUGGUGUCAAGAGUAGCAUGCUUGAGUGCUUAGGAAUACAACAAUAUUUUUAGAUGAAAGAUGAGGGUUGAAAAAUCAUUAGUUUACAAAUGCAGAACUACCAUUUUUUCUCCAACCCACCUCACUAUUUUGCUAAUGACAUGAUGAUUGGAGGAGGGCAGCGUUGCAAUCAUUCUUGUGUAUAUAUUAUUGGUAUAUACUUUUGACGGAUGAUUUCGGUAGGCGUAUUUUAUAUAUAUAUGCGAUCCUUCAUUACCAUAUCAGUUCGAACAGUUGCUUCCCACCCACAUAACCUCCUUCCCUGCAUUGAAGGUAUAUCCAAUUAAUUCGCUUAAUUUCCUUUACUGUGUGUUGCCAAUUUUCAACGUUUUUAUAAUACUACCAUCAGCACCACUGGGAUUCUGCCUGAUGGUUUGUACUGGAUUGAACUCUAAAAAAUUUUGACUUAUGCAUUUCAGGGUUCCAAUGGAUAGCAACUUUGGGGCCUCUCGACCGACAUCGUUGACAGGAUCAGCCGGUGAUCCUCCCCCUAGAGCGACACGUGGUUUGCGGACUACCUCCUUCGAUUUGGGAAUGGAACCGAGGAGGUGAACAAGGAAGGACUCAUAGGCCUUCCUUCGGAUAUUUGCGUGUCGUGCAAAGGGAAUGAAACGGACCUCGAAAGGCUCAUCGAUACCGUGUUCCCCAACCUAAACGAUAACCUGACGGACCCAAACUACAUCACAUGUAGGGCCAUAUUGUCCACUCGGAAUGAGUUCGCCGAUCGAAUAAACGUGAAGAUGAUUGAGCGGUUUAGAUGGGAUGUGAUGACAUAUCAUAGUUUUGACCGAGCAAAGGAUGACCCUCAUAACUAUUACCCGCCGGAAUUCUUGAACUCUCUAACUCCAAAUGGGCUACCUCCGCAUGUGCUUAAGCUGAAGAUAAACUGCCCCAUCAUGCUUUUGAGGAGCAUUGACCCAGCCAACGGGCUUUGCAAUGGGACAAGGCUGGUGGUUCAUCAGUUCGGAAAAAAUGCUAUUGACGCGGAGAUUGUUGUAGGGAAGCAUGCUGGAAAGAGAGUUUUCCUUCCUCGGAUACCUCUAUGUCCUUCUGAUGAUGAGAUGUUCCCGUUUCGCUUCAAGAGGAAGCAAUUUCCGGUUAGAUUGAGCUUUGCAUUCACCAUCAAUAAGGCGCAGGGUUAAACCAUUCCAAAUGCAGGCGUCUACUUACUAGAGCCUGUCUUCUCUCAUGGUCAAAUAUACGUCGCGCUGUCUAGAGCAACCUCUAGAACAAACAUAAAAAUACUAUCGAUGCCGGUAGAAGACAAGAAACAAAAUAAAAAGUCUAAGCGUACUGGCGUGAAGGACAAUGAGAAGAAAGGAAAGGAAUUGUCUAAACAGGCUGCAACAUACACAAAAAAUAUUGUGUUUAGAGAGGUCCUCACAUAUUAGAAAAGGUAUAUUAUGUGACUAAUUAACCGUCCACAAUAUGCUUGCUUAAAUUCCAUUCUUACUGCUGAGUGCUUCUUCACAGUUUAGUUCACGUAUGGCUUUGUAUGUAUUAGGUGUUUUCUGAAGACGGUGAAAUAAAUCACCUAUAAGAUCUGAUCUUUGGAGGAUAAUAUCUUAUGUUGAAUAUUAUUAUACUGAAAUUCUGCGAUUGCUUUGCACCUUUGUUCCUUAAAAUAUGUGAUUCACUUGAAUGCCAUUAAUUCCUAGCAGUACUUGUGCAACUGGCUGCAUCAAAAAUUAUAUUUUGUAAGAUGUUUACAUCUGAACCCCCUGUAUAUAAAACUUGCUAUUGGAAUCACUGUUGCAAAUAUAUUGUGUCACUAGCCCGAUUAGGAUAGGAGAAUUGCACAAAUGUUUUAUUUUUCCAAGUUAUAACUGAAGUAUAUUAGGUUAAUUUGAAACAACAGUGACUAAAUGAGGUCCACAUUUAAUAAUAGUGGAUCAUGCAAUUUACCUGAAAUUUAUCUGAAGCAUUCCAUGGCUUUAGAUAAUACAAAUACAAAUUUAUCUGAAGCAUUCCAUCUUCCAUUUAAUAAUUGAUUUUACUUUCUUAGAUAGCUGGGGAGAUGUCGGAUUGCAUCUUUGGCAAUGGGGUGCUGUGCCUGGAUUAGGAGCAAAUUAAAACAUUAUUAUGCUCUUGAUCUAUUAUUGUCAGGAUGACAAAGCAAGAUGGACUAUAGGGACCACUAUUAUUUUAACAUUUAGGAUUUGUGGAUUUCUUUCAUUUUUUGUUUUUUCUCUGACCAUUUCUGCACUUUUGUCUAUUCAUAUGCAAGAUGGAUAGACCCAGUAGAAGCAUUGUAAGCGUGUGCAAGAAAUGGUGAAGGGAUGCAUCUAGCACAAAUUUCCUUCCUGAUGAACAUUCAUUGUUAACAGUAGGUAAUUGUAUAAAAUUAACUUACAAUUCCAUUUCAAUCGCCAUAUAGGACUUCUUUGGAGAGGAGGAAGUUUACCAGAUUUGAACUAAUUUUUGUAAAGUCUUAUGUUCCAAAGAAGCCCUGAAGCUAAAAGAUGGCAAGUAUGUGAUGUGAACUUUGUGCGGUGAAAUAAACCUGGAGCCUUUGAUCUGCAUAUGUAGCUGUUGAUUUUAUAGAUCGAACCCAUUUAUGCCUUUUGAAUGCAUGAUCAAAUUUUUGGUCAAAUAAGGGUAUCUAUAUAGUUAAUGUGGACUGAUGGCAUAUUUAAUAUAUUAAUAAUAUUUAUUUGGUCAGUGUUUGACUUGACAUACACUCUGAAACUGCAUGUAUAAUAGAACUUGUAUUUGUUUACAGAUCUCUGUUUACUGAUUUUAGACAUUCAGUGGCAUUUUAGUUCAUUUUUCUUAUCUUUCGCUGAUCAUUUGACCAUAUGUGGUUUUGUACUCUUUAUCUGUGCACAUACCUAUGUUGCUGCUACUCAUGAUCAGAUGGUAGUUGCAUGAUGAUAUAUCAUCAGUUGGAAUUAGAUUGUGAGAGAACUUGAUGAUUUAAUUUCUGUACAUUUUACUUAUUUGUUUCAGGAAUUCAGUGGGUUACAACUAUGGUUCUCUGAUCUGCUGACCUACUAUCUUUCUUUUUUCUUGGUACAUAAUGCCUAGAUGUUUGGGCUAAGAAACUAAAUUGUGUCAAGCAGGGACUCCCGCUGACGCCGUCGCCGCCUCGCCCCUAACGACAACCGCUGAAGCCAAAGACCACCGAUCCACGUCGAGGACCACCGAAGCCAGCAACACCCGCCUUGCCGAUCUCCUCUGUAGCUGCUGCCGAUCGUCGCCGCUGCCCACAUCGCCGAUCUACUCCGCGGACACCGUUUCAUCUAUACGAAAUUUGACUUAUGAAGCAUAGCAUAUUGUGGUAUUGCCUAUGAUUUUACUUGCAAGGAAUAAAAUAUGCUCCGACAAUAGUGUAUUUAGGCGCCAUUGUUUCGCAGUUGCUGCUGCUUUUCAGCAGAACUAGCCUGAUGCUUAUAAGCAUCAGCUAUUCCAUUGUUUUGCUUAUGGCUGAUUACUGGAUCUUCUAUGAACUGAUGCAUUGCCUAUGCUUGCCUGCCUCUGUGUGUGUUGUGUGCUUCUCAGCACUGACUCCAGAUGCGUGCAGUCAGCUCUAUUGUGUAGAUACUAGAUACUGGUGUUGGAUUGAGAGGGUUGCAUUUUGAAGUUACUUUGGUUGGCAUGAAGCUAUUGUGCAGAUACUGUAUACUUUUUUUUUUAAGAAAAAGUUGGAUACUGGAGUUCCUGUGACUAA